UACGAACCGUACAAACGUUAUUCGGAAUCACUGGCUUAAAGGGUGUGUAGGUGGCGCCGUAAGUCGGGUGUGAAAUUUCGGAGCUUAACUCCGAAACUGCAUUCGAUACUGCGGUGCUUGAGGACUGGAGAGGAGACUGGAAUUCAUGGUGUAGCAGUGAAAUGCGUAGAGAUCAUGAGGAAGACCAGUGGCGAAGGCGGGUCUCUGGACAGUUCCUGACACUGAGACACGAAGGCCAGGGGAGCAAACGGG
rnacentral:rRNA from 1 species